UGACUUUUGAAGAGGUUAGGUAACCUGGAUUUCAGGUUAUCUACAUCAAAUGAGGCAGUAGUUCCUACUUUCUCAGAUUUUUGUCGGCAUUGUGGGAGACAAUGCAUACCAAACCCAGUGAGUAACAAGUGUCAGCUGUCGGAGUUAUGACGCGCUUGCUUGGGCAAUGGUGAAGUUGACCUGAGGCUACUGCAAGUAGGAAGCAUGAUUCAGUGUACAUAGAGGAAAUUUAUUUUUAUUCAAGAACAGAAAAGUGAUCUGACCAACCGCUCCAGAGCAUUUACAUUGUUCGUCCAGGCUGUAAAGGGUGUCUUGAAUGAGGUCCUAAAAAGGCUCUGAGGCACCUCGCUCCGAUUCUCCCAAUCUGCAGAAUCACUGAAACAGACAACAAAGAACACACAGUCUCCUGACAUCACCACAGAAGUGUCAUCUGCUGUCUGAUCACGUCGAGUUAAGGCGGUGACUGUCAGCAAGGUCCCAUAGCACCAGUGUUCCAGAAGAACCAACCAGAAGUGAAGAGGUGGAGGCCUACCCACGCCUCCAGCAAUGUGUCAUUCAGUGAACCACAGCCUUGAGUUUGUGUUUAUACCAUUCUCCACAAUGAUACAGAGUUCACAGAACACUCCUUUCCAAGCCUGGAUUUAGCUCCCAGGAGAGCCAGAGGAAACAGGCAGGAGCUGGCCUUUCUCAGGAUGAGGACAGUGUUGAAGGCCUGUGAGCUUUCCAAUCUCUUGUAUGCGGCCAAAGAAAACAGCUUUUUGAAAACCCUGUGUUUGUAACCUGUGUGACCACAACUAAUGCAAGAUCAAAUUAAGAUAAUGUGUUCUAUGUGACCCCGGACCAGACUGGGCUGUACCAGAAUUUAUUUCAACAUGAGCGAAGACAGUGGAAUCUUUCCCGUGUUCACCUGAGCACCGAUACUCCUGAACUCUAAAAUAUCAGGGUUCCAGAGUCUCUCAACUGAAAGGGACUCUUUUGUGAGUGUGACUAUUUCUCAGUCUUGCUAUUCAUCAGAGUUUUCUUUAAAAUGGAGUCAAUUUCGGCCACAGCCAAAAGUUUUGGGGUUACUGCUUUAUAAUCUGAUGCCGGGAAGCCUUGUGAGUGUGGUAUAGAUAGGCCUGGCGCGCGUGCGCAGUGUGACCCUGCUCUCCCUUUGCCGCUCUAAUGCUGUUUCCCAUGCAUAAAACAUCCUCACAUGACAUUUUGUACUUUUCCUUCUUCACUCAGCCCAUGCAGAGAGUCGCUUCUACAGGAUCAAAGAUCAAAGGGCUGUCCACUCAGGUUACCGUGGAUGAAGACAGAGCUGGGGGAAGCGUCUAGAUUUGUGAAGGGACACAGACCCUCUUAGCAGGAGAUGCAGCAGCAGGGCUUCUAGGCUCCAGGUGCAAUAACCUGCUUCCUCCCUGCAACUAAUUUCUUCUUCUUUUUCCUCCCAAGAAGGAAGACAUUUCCACUCUUUUUUGUUGUGGCUUUGUUCUUCUGUACCUGCUUGACUAGAGGGAGGGAGGGGACGAGAACAGGACAGAGGAAAUGGAAGGACAGGCAGAGUCAGAGUGGCUUCAGAUUCACCUUUCAGAACAAUACCAACUUUGCCAACCAGGAAGAGCCCGUCUUUGGUAAGUGGAAUUCCACACUUGGUUUCUGUAGGACAAGGUAAGUCACGUAGAAGAUCACACACGAGAGCCGUGAGGCUCAGUCUGCGCAGAGUUGAGCCAGUGACCUGCCUAUUCUGAAAUGUGGAAGGGACUCGUGGUCCUCAAAUCAGAUCAGGCCAUCUCCAGUCAUGACUUCUGGCUCUAAAGUGGCUGCUCAUCAGAAUAUGGCCAUUCCCAGAGUGGAAUUAGCCCUGUGCCAACUUGGCUUAUGAAAUGUUGACUGGCAGUUUACAAGAGUGUGGCAAAAGGCACAGCCCAGGCCCAAAGGGCUUUUAAAACUGCUUGCUUAAUUUCUGUUUUUAUAAUAAUGAGUAAGAAAAUUAGGUUUCCCGGAGAAGCAUCUCAACAAGCCCGCCCUUCUGAUCUUAGGACCCCAGCCAGAGAACCAAAGAAGGCCUCUGUACUGGCGUUUCUAAAGCAAACUAUCAAACUGUCAAAUAAAGGAGGAUGUGGAUGUAGCCUUUACCUUAAAACACCCACCUUGGUAGCUUUGGAUGCAAUGCCUGGAUUUAGAAUCCUCGAACUAAAACAGGAUGUAGAGGUGUGUGUCUCGAAUCGCAGACCCCGGGAGGAAGAGAGGAACAUCUGGAGUUCCAGCCCAGUCCAGGCUACAGUGAGACCCUUUCUUAAAACCAACCAGACAUCCAACAAAACAUCCUGAAAGUGCUCAGGGUUCCAGGAUCGUCCUGUGAGGCUUCUCAGUGGAAAUAUUCCUAGCCUCGGACUCUAGUCCCUUCCAGGACCUUGGGAAUACCCCCUUUCACCAAAUGUUCAUCAUUCUCACUGAACUUGGGGUCCCACACCACAUGCCGAGUUGCCCCUCUACAGCCCUUCUUAUUCCUCUACAGCCCCAGGACCCAGGGCCAGGCAAUCUACUGCACAAGGCCCACUCAUCUGCUUACAAUAAAUUCUAGUCACCCCUGCCCUCCAAAUCCCAAGCACAGCAAAAACAAAACAAAACAAAGCAACAACAAUAACAACAACAAAAAAACCCAAACUACCUUGCUUACCCA